rnacentral:rRNA from 1 species
AUACGAAAGGUGCAAGCGUUGUUCGGAUUUACUGGGCGUAAAGAGAUCGUAGGUGGUUUAUUAAGUCGGAUGUGAAAUCCCGGGGCUCAACCCCGGAACUGCAUUCGAUACUGGUAGACUAGAGUUUGGGAGGGGUAAGCGGAAUUCCGUGUGUAGCAGUGAAAUGCGUAGAUAUACGGAGGAACACCUGAGGCGAAGGCGGCUUACUGGACCAAUACUGACACUGAGGAUCGAAAGCGUGGGUAGCAAACAGGAUUAGAUACCCUUGUAGUCC